rnacentral:rRNA from 1 species
UACGGAGGGUGCAAGCGUAUCCGGAUUCACUGGGUUUAAAGGGUGCGUAGGUGGGUCUGUAAGUCAGUGGUGAAAUCUCCGUGCUUAACAUGGAAACUGCCAUUGAUACUAUAGGUCUUGAAUUUUCUGGAGGUAAGCGGAAUAUGUCAUGUAGCGGUGAAAUGCUUAGAUAUGACAUAGAACACCAAUUGCGAAGGCAGCUUGCUACAGGGAUAUUGACACUGAGGCACGAAAGCGUGGGGAUCAAACAGG